rnacentral:snRNA from 1 species
AUCGCUUCUCGGCCUUUUGGCUAAGAUCAAGUGUAGAUCCCUGUAGUGCAUACCAGCCAGCAGCACCUGGCAGCCAACAGCUGCCCCAAGAAUUUUUUUUUUUUUUUUUUUUUUGGUACCGGGGAUCGAACUCAGGUCCUUGCACUUGCGCAGCAGGCAGUGAAACCACU